GAACAGAAGAGUUUGAUCCUGGCUCAGGACGAACGCUGGCGGCGUGCCUAACACAUGCAAGUCGAGCGGGGAUGGAUGAAGUGCUUGCACAGAUUCUAUUCUAGCGGCGGACGGGUGAGUAACGCGUGAACAAUCUGUCCUAAACAGGGGGAUAACAACUGGAAACAGUUGCUAAUACCGCAUAAGACCACGCUUCCGCAUGGAAGAGGGGUAAAAGGAGC
rnacentral:rRNA from 1 species